rnacentral:rRNA from 1 species
UACGGGGGGGGCAAGCGUUGUUCGGAAUUACUGGGCGUAAAGGGCUCGUAGGCGGCCAACUAAGUCUGACGUGAAAUCCCCAGGCUCAACCUGGGAACUGCGUCCGAUACUGGAUGGCUUGAAUCCGGGAGAGGGAUGCAGAAUUCCAGGUGUAGCGGUGAAAUGCGUAGAUAUCGUCAAGAACACCGAUAGCGAAGGCAGCUUACCAAGCUGUAACUGACACUGAGGCGCGAAAGUGUGGGGAGCAAACAGG